GUGCCAGCCGCCGCGGUAAUACGUAGGUGGCAAGCGUUAUCCGGAAUUAUUGGGCGUAAGGCGCGCGUAGGCGGUUUUUUAAGUCUGAUGUGAAAGCCCACGGCUCAACCGUGGAGGGUCAUUGGAAACUGGAAAACUUGAGUGCAGAAGAGGAAAGUGGAAUUCCAUGUGUAGCGGUGAAAUGCGCAGAGAUAUGGAGGAACACCAGUGGCGAAGGCGACUUUCUGGUCUGUAACUGACGCUGAUGUGCGAAAGCGUGGGGAUCAAACAGGAUUAG
rnacentral:rRNA from 1 species